CCCGAGUUUGACGACUUCUGGCCGAAGCGACGGAAGUGUCAGGAAGAGUUUAUGAUACUCCCCCCCGAGUUUGACGACUUCUGGCCGAAGCGACAGAAGUGUCAGGAAGAGCUUGGGAUUCUCCCCCCUUGAGAUCAUUAAGGCCGAAGCGUCAAAAUGACCUCUGGUCUACUAAGGCCGAAGCGACAAAGCAGACCGACUCACU
rnacentral:lncRNA from 1 species